UGCAAGUCGAACGAGUACGACUACUUGCUAGGUACGAGAGUGGAGAGGGUGAGUAUGCAUAGGAAUCUGCCAGUAGUAAGGAAUAACUCAUGGAAACAUGAGCUAAUACUGUAUACUACCGAUUUAUCGGGAAAGACUUCGGUCGCUAUUGGAUGAGCCUAUGUCAGAUUACUUGUUGGUGGGGUAAAGGCCUACCAAGGCUGUGAUCUGUAGCUGGUUUGAGAGAAUGAUCAGCCACACUGGGACUGCGACACGGCCCAGACUCCUACGGGAGGCAGCAGUGAGGAAUAUUGGACAAUGGGCGAAAGCCUGAUCCAGCAAUACCACGUGAGUGAUGAAGGCCUUCGGGUUGUAAAGCUCUUUUAGUAGGGAAGAUAAUGACGGUACCUACAGAAAAAGCACCGGCUAAUUCCGUGCCAGCAGCCGCGGUAAUACGGAAGGUGCUAGCGUUGUUCGGAUUUAUUGGGCGUAAAGCGUACGUAGGCGGUUUAGUGUGUUAGAUGUGAAAUCCCAGAGCUCAACUUUGGAAUUGCAUUUAAAACUGCUAGACUUGAGUAUGAUAUGAGAUGGCGGAAUUUCUAGUGUAGGGGUGAAAUCCGUAGAUAUUAGAAGGAACAUCAGUGGUGAAGACGGCUAUCUAGGUCAUUACUGACGCUAAGGUACGAAGGCGUGGGGAGCAAACAGGAUUAGAUACCCUGGUAGUCCACGCAGUAAACGAUGAGUGCUAGGUGUCUGAAUUUUAUAUUUGGGUGUCAAAGUUAACGCGUUAAGCACUCCGCCUGGGGAAUACGGUCGCAAGACUAAACUCAAAGGAAUUGACGGGGACCCGCACAAGCGGUGGAUUAUGUGGUUUAAUUCGAUGCUACGCGAAAAACCUUACCAGCUCUUGACAUCCCGAUCGCGAGACACAGAGAUGAGUCUCUUCAGUUCGGCUGGAUCGGUGACAGGUGUUUGCAUGGCUGUCGUCAGCU
rnacentral:rRNA from 1 species